rnacentral:rRNA from 1 species
ACACAUGCAAGUCGAGGGGAAACGACAUCGAAAGCUUGCUUUUGAUGGGCGUCGACCGGCGCACGGGUGAGUAACGCGUAUCCAACCUGCCCACCACUUGGGGAUAACCUUGCGAAAGUAAGACUAAUACCCAAUGACGUCUCUAGAAGACAUCUGAAAGAGAUUAAAGAUUUAUCGGUGAUGGAUGGGGAUGCGUCUGAUUAGCUUGUUGGCGGGGUAACGGCCCACCAAGGCGACGAUCAGUAGGGGUUCUGAGAGGAAGGUCCCCCACAUUGGAAUUGAGACACGGUCCAAACUCCUACGGGAGGCAGCAGUGAGGAAUAUUGGUCAAUGGGCGAGAGCCUGAACCAGCCAAGUAGCGUGCAGGAUGACGGCCCUAUGGGUUGUAAACUGCUUUUAUAAGGGAAUAAAGUGAGUCUCGUGAGACUUUUUGCAUGUACCUUAUGAAUAAGGACCGGCUAAUUCCGUGCCAGCAGCCGCGGUAAUACGGAAGGUCCGGGCGUUAUCCGGAUUUAUUGGGUUUAAAGGGAGCGUAGGCCGGAGAUUAAGCGUGUUGUGAAAUGUAGACGCUCAACGUCUGCACUGCAGCGCGAACUGGUUUCCUUGAGUACGCACAAAGUGGGCGGAAUUCGUGGUGUAGCGGUGAAAUGCUUAGAUAUCACGAAGAACUCCGAUUGCGAAGGCAGCUCACUGGAGCGCAACUGACGCUGAAGCUCGAAAGUGCGGGUAUCGAACAGGAUUAGAUACCCUGGUAGUCCGCACGGUAAACGAUGGAUGCCCGCUGUUGGUCUGAAUAGGUCAGCGGCCAAGCGAAAGCAUUAAGCAUCCCACCUGGGGAGUACGCCGGCAACGGUGAAACUUAA